rnacentral:rRNA from 1 species
CCUACGGGUGGCAGCAGUCGAGAAUCAUUCACAAUGGGGGAAACCCUGAUGGUGCGACGCCGCGUGGGGGAAUGAAGGUCUUCGGAUUGUAAACCCCUGUCAUGUGGGAGCAAAUUAAAAAGAUAGUACCACAAUAGGAAGAGACGGCUAACUCUGUGCCAGCAGCCGCGGUAAUACAGAGGUCUCAAGCGUUGUUCGGAAUCACUGGGCGUAAAGCGUGCGUAGGCUGUUUCGUAAGUCGUGUGUGAAAGGCGCGGGCUCAACCCGCGGACGGCACAUGAUACUGCGAGACUAGAGUAAGGGAGGGGGAACCGGAAUUCUCGGUGUAGCAGUGAAAUGCGUAGAUAUCGAGAGGAACACUCGUGGCGAAGGCGGGUUCCUGGACAUUAACUGACGCUGAGGCACGAAGGCCAGGGGAGCGAAAGGGAUUAGAUACCCUAGUAGUC